AUUGAACGCUGGCGGAAUGCUUUACACAUGCAAGACGAGCGGCAGCGCGGCCUUCGGGCUGGCGGCGAGCGGCGAACGGGUGAGUAAUGCAUCGGAACAUGCCCAGUCGUGGGGGAUAACACUUCGAAAGAGGUGCUAAUACCGCAUACGUCCUGAGGGGGAAAGCGGGGGAUCGCAAGACCUCGCGCGAUUGGAGUGGCCGAUGUCAGAUUAGCUAGUUGGUGGGGUAAAGGCCUACCAAGGCGACGAUCUGUAGCUGGUCUGAGAGGAUGAUCAGCCACACUGGGACUGAGACACGGCCCAGACUCCUACGGGAGGCAGCAGUGGGGAAUUUUGGACAAUGGGGGCAACCCUGAUCCAGCCAUUCCGCGUGAGUGAAGAAGGCCUUCGGGUUGUAAAGCUCUUUCGGCAGGAACGAAACGGUGGGCUCUAACAUAGUCCGCUAAUGACGGUACCUGAAGAAGAAGCACCGGCUAACUACGUG
rnacentral:rRNA from 1 species